rnacentral:lncRNA from 1 species
CAGGCGAGCACGCUACUGCUUGAGCCACAUCCCCAGCCCCUCAUAUAAAGAUCUUGAUGCAAAAUAAUUUGUUUGGAAUACUUGAGAAAAUGCACUAACUGAAGGAAAUGUGCUAAUUAUAAAUAUGUGGGCUCAUCAGGUGCUCAGCCUUUCUGAUUUAUAAGGGUAGGGUUUAUUUUCUCAACUGAAUGUAAGCUGUGAAGGGCGUGGUCAUGUUUUAUAAAUAUCUCUGCCACCUCAGUUCCAAAGCCUGCUCACUCUGGAGGGAUGAGAGUGUAUAGCUCUGAACCAGGCGUUGGGACUCUGGUCUGAGUCGUCUCUGCCUCUGCCGACUGCAGCAUCCAGGAGUCUAUUAACUACCUUUGGCCUCACAUGAAAUAGAGGUGAGGCUUUGUCCCACCAAACUCUCUUAAACAACAAGGUGAAUAAGAAAGCUCUGGGGGUUGUGAGGCUAGAUGCAAAAUGAGAGGAGUUGAUAUUGUUCUGUUUCCAUCAGAAGGCAGUGGUUCCAUACAGAGUUGGAAUGCUCUUAGUGGAAAAGGGAUGACGGUGCAACUUGUGAACUCCAAAUGGACGUUCAGCCUUUAACCAAAGAGCUUCAACUGUGGGUUAGAACACACAACACACUGUACUCUGGCUAACCAGGAGACUGUGUCUCCUUUAAUGAGUGUGGACUUCUCCACGGGUAAGGUAGAAGAGGCCACAUUCUGAGUGUCAGUGACUACAGGUGGUUGAGGAUUCCCUUGGGCCCAGGUGAUGAGGGCCAACCAACUGUGAGGACACUGUGCUCCCUCUCUCUUUCUUUGGCUCUAGCUUACGCUGACACUGACCUGGGUGAAGUUGGCUGCUCUCCACUGCAGAGAGGGUGCUGCCUCUGGAAUGGUGAGAGCCAGAGGCUGAGCGGCCCUUUCCACUGUUCCCAUGUCUGCUGGGAGUAGCUUCAUUGUGGGUUUCUCCCUUCCAUGGAUUGUGGUGCUGGCAUGGGGGAGCCAUAGCUGAGUUCCCUAGAGUGGCCACUGCCAUGGUGGUGUGACUCUUGUCUAGUGUGUGUGUCUUGUGAGAGUUGGGCAACCAGAAUAUCCAUAUUGUCCACCAGGAGAUCUCUGAUAUCCCCGCUGGAGGCAUUGCUGGACAAUUUGAAGGUCUAUUCAUCCUCGUUACCUUGUGGACUGUGGGGCUGCCCUUAGCAUGGCCAUAGGAGACCAGGCUCUAGGGGAGGUUAUAGCUGUCAUCGCUGAACUCUGUUGUGCCACUAUGGCAACAGGAGGCUGCAAAAAACUCAGAUUUGACACAGACACUGGAAUAGUGCCCAUGGCACUGGGAAACCUGUGUGGCCACGUCACUCCUCAAGAAGAAAAGGGUCCUGGUGCCCUGAUAAACUGGCCCUGCAAUUUCUUCCCUGGCUCAUGCACUGAUGAAAGCAGAGGUGCCCCUGAGGGCCUCUGCCUCUGUCUGGGCUGUGCGUCCUCCCACACAGGGAUCUGAUGUGAGUAAAGUGGGUUGAUUGCAGUGUGACGAGGCAGAGCAUUCUGUGUCUUGAAGAGAUGGUGAUUGGAGCUGCUGAGCUCACCUGAAGGGUAGGGAGUCCUGAAUGACUGAGGAAAGGUUUCUUCGGGAGUUCAGCACCCCAGAUACUUCGCAGGCAGCAGUUUCUUCAGACAGCCAAGAACACUGUGGCUGGUGCUCGGGCUUCUGUAGGUGAGCACAAAACUUAGGGGCAGGAUCCCAAGCCAGGAGGUGGUUUCCUGUUCAAGGGCCUGACCACACAGCUAGGACCAGCUGUAUUCCCAAACACAGUUCCUGACUCCCAGGCCUCUGGAAGAAUGCCCGCUCUGCCCCAGGCUUUGGAAACCUGAGGCAAAUUGUGAAGACCACAGAAGGCCUUGGUCAUCCCUGGUAGUGUGGCAUAAAAGGAGGCUCACUCUUCUUUUUUGUUGUGGUUGGUGGUAGCAGGGGUGGUGUUACUGGGAAUUGGAUCCAGGGAUGCUUUACCAUCCCCAGCCAUUUUUAACCAUUUUUUGUUGUUGUUGUUGUUGUAGAUUGACAAAAUAUCUUUAUUUAUUUGUUUUUAUGUGGCACUAAGGAUCGAACCCAGUGGCUCACAUAUGAUAGACAAGUGCUCUACCGCUGAGCUACAACCCCAGCCCAUAACCCUUAUCUUGAGACAGGGUCUUGCUAAGUUUCUUAGGGCUUCACUAAGUUGCUGAAGCUGGGCUGGCUAGCCUUGAACUUGUGCUCCUCCUGCCGUGGCCUCCCAAAUCGCUGGGAUUACAGACAUGAGCCAUUGCAACCAAUAGCUCUUUUUUUUUUUUUUUUAACAUUUAUUUUUUAGGUGUAAAUGGACACAACACAAUGGUGUUGAGGAUCCAACCUGGGUCCUGCCCGUGCUAGGCAAGCACUCUACUGCUAAGCCACAAUCCCAGCCCCAAGCUCAUUCUUAAUAUAGAUCUCCACACUAUGUUUGUCUAAUUUUUAUUCAUGAAAAUAAAGUUUGCGGUGACAUACUUAUGCAAGUUUUAUUUAGGUAAUAAUGGAUGAAUUUAAAUUCUAUGUAGUUUUAAAAUAACUAUGGUUAGUAGACUAAUGAAAAAUUAGUUUUUGUUGGGAUUUUCCUAUUGGUCUCAUGUAACAGGUUUUUACCCUUUUUAUAUAUAUAUGUAUAUAUAUAUGUAUAUACAUAUAUACACAUUUGUUUGGGGGGGACAAAAGACUUUUUACAUCAAUUUUGUAUUUUUUACUUUUUUUUGGUACCAAAAACUGAACCCCCAAGGAUGUUUAACUAUUGAGGCACAUACCCAGACCUUUUUAUUUUUAAGACGGGGUCUCACCAAGUUGCUUAGGGCCUCAAUAAGUUGCUGAGGCUGGCUUUGAACUUGAGAUCCUCCUGGUUCAGUCUCCCAAGCAGCUGUGUGCUUGCCUCCACACCAGCUUAUAAAUUUUUCACUUUUUGAUGUCCAGUUUCCUCAACAUGAUUUCUAUACAUGAUUUUUAGAGUUUCCUCAGUGUUUCAAACAGCUUAUAGAUUGAAAAAUAUCAUCUUUGGGCUGGGGAUGUGGCUCAGGGGUAGUGCACUUUCCUGGCAUGUAUGAGGCCUUGGGUUUGAUCCACAUUUCCACCAAGAAAAGAAAGAAAUAUUGCCAGGCACAGAGGCGCACGCCUGUAAUCCCAGUGGCUCUGGAGGCUGAGACAGGAGGGUUGCAAGUUCAAAGCCAGCCUCAGCAAAAAGCCAGGCACGAAGCAACUCAGUGAGACCCUGUCUCUAAAUAAAAUGCAAAAUAGGGCUGGGGAUGUGGCUCAGUGGUCGAGUGCCCCUGAGUUCAAUCCCCAGUACCCAGGGGGGAAAAAAAAAUUAUUACUUCAAGAGCCUUGCAAAAUCAGAUGGCUAGAUUUGGCCUGCAGACCACAGUUUGAUGACUAAGAGACUUUUAGUGAGGCCAUGGAAGAGUUAAAAAACAAGUAGCAAAGACCAGGACUAUUAGACUUUGUAACUUUUUGCUGAUUUACAUAGCUUUUUAAAUUUCAAAUUCCAUUUUAUUUGACCUUCAUGUUGGUGUACCAAAGGUGUCCAUUUGCUUGGUGAUUGAUUAGAAUUAUUUAGCAGAAAUGAAAAUAGAGAGAACCUGUGUUUAGGGCUGGAGCUUGGGCUGUAAGUGGUGAAGCACUUGCCUCACAUGUGUGAGGUACUGGGUUCAAUCCUCAGCACCACAUAAAAGUAAUUUUUUUUAAUAUUGUUCAGUUGUUAAACACACAUAUAUUGUGUCCAUCUGCAACUAAUAUUUUUUUUUAAAAAAAGAACCUACAUUUAGUUAUUGCAUACCAAAAUAAAAUUAUUUAGUUCCAAGUAAGACCAGAGUAUUAGAAUCAAACAUAAGAGAGUUAAACCUUUUUUAAACUAUGUAAAGUCCUAUUUAUAUAUGAAAAGCCAGUUAAGGUGACUCGCACUAUUGGUUUCACUAAGCCAAAGAGACUUCAGCAUCUUCAGGAUGUCUUUUAAAAUUAAUUUUUAAUUUCUUUUUUGGCUUGUUUCAAAUGUAUUUUGCUUUUUAAAAUUUUAUGUGGGGUGCACAAAACCAUAAAAAUUAUACACAUGAAUGGGGUAACGUAAUGUCCCAAUGUGUACACACUGUAUCGUAUUAAAAUCAGGUUGAAACAUGUUCCCCCUUACAGGUUUUUUAUAUUCGUGGUGAAAGCUUUCAGUACCCUUACUUCUAGAUUUUUGGAUCUAGUGUGUGAUCAUUUUCAGUGAUUACUGUACUGUGCAUACAGCAUCCCUACGGCUUCUUGCUCAUCUCUGCCGUAGUGCCUGUUGGUCAGUCUCCCCAUGCCCACUAACAUCCCCAACCUUUGGUGGCCUCCACUUUCGUGUCAACUUCUAUGAGAUCAGCUUUUUUUAAUAUAUAUUGUUUAGUUGUCAAUGGAUCUUUAUUUUAUUUAUUUACAUGUGGUGCUGAGAAUCAAACCCAGUGCCUCACACAUGCUAAGCAAGUGCCCUAAGCAAGUGCCCUACCCCUGAACCCCAGCCCCAGCCCGAGAUCAGCUUUUUUAGAAUCCAUGUAUGAGUAACAUUGUGCAGCACUUGAGUGUGCCUGCCUGUUUCACCCAGUGUCAUAAUCUCCAUUUCAAUCCAUGUUGUUAGAAAUGACAGAAAAAUGAAUUUCUUCCUUCCUCUUUUUCUAUCUUCCUUCUCUCUCAUGUCUUUCCUUCUUUCCCCAGCACCUCCUGCAUGCCAGGCAAGUGCUUUACCACUGAACUACAUCCCCCAACACUGAUUUCAUUCCUUUAAUGGCUGAAUAGUCUGCCAUUGUAAACAUGUACCACAUGUGCCUUACCACUCAUCUGUUGUUGUUUCUAUAUCUUUGCUGUUGUGACUAGUGCUGUGAGGAAUAUGGUAGUAGAAAUGUCUUCUGAAUUCUCAUUUCAUUUGGAUAUGGAGGCAGUAGUGGGGUUGCUGGUAUAUAGGUAGUUAUCUAUUUUCAAUUUUUGAAACACCUCCACCUUUUUUCCCAUAAUGACUCUACCAAUUUACUUUCUUACCAAAAGUUUAGAAAGAUCUCAUUUCUCCACAUUCUGGCCAGCACCUACUCUCUUGUCUUUUUUAUAGUAGCCGUUCUUACUAGGGGGACCUAUAGUUCUGUGACGGCUGGUAACGUGGAGCACUUUUUCAUAUACCCUUAGCCACAUGUAGGUCAGCUUUUGAGAAAUGGCUAUUUAGAUGGAUUGACCACUUUUUAAUUGGGUUUAUUUUUGCCUGUUGAGUUUUGGAGUUCUUUGGGUAUUCUUUAUCUCAUCUCCCUGCCAGGUGUGUGUAUUACCAAUAUUUUCUCACGUUCUCUAGAUUGUUUCUCUACUAUGUUGAGUGUUUCAUUUGUUGUACAAAGGCUUUUAAUUUUAACCAAUCCCAUUUUUCUAUUUCUGCCUUCAUUUCCUGUGUUUGGGUUCUUGUCCAAAAAAUGUUUGCCCCCUCCAGUGUCCUGAAGCAUUUUUCCUUAGAUUUUCACUCCACGCCACUCCUUUUUUUGUACUGGGAAUUGAACUCAGGGGCACUUAGCCACUAAACCAUGUCCCCAGCCCUUUUUUUUAUUUUAUUUAGAGACAGGGCCUCACUGAGUUGCUUGGGGCCUCGCUAAAUUGCUGAAGCUGGCUUUGAACUCAUGAUCUUCCUGCCUCAGCCUCCUGAGCCACUGGGAUCACAGACACAUGACCCAGCCCAUUUUCACUCCUUAGAUCCAGCUCUUAACAUUUAAGUCUUCACUCCAUUUUGAGUUGAUGUUUAUAACUGGUGAGAAAAACAGGUCUAGCUUCAUUCUGAAUUGAAAAUCCAAAUUUUCCCACUAACCUGUGCUAAAAAGACAGCCUUUUUCCAGUACAGAUUCUCAGCACCUUUCUCAUAAAUCAGUUGGCUGUAGAUUUUCAUUGGUCUGUGUGUCUCUGUGCGCCACUGCCAUGCUCUUUUGAUUACUAUAGCUUUCUAGUAUGUUUUGAAGUGAGGAAGCAUUACUCUUCCUGCUUUGUACUUUUUGUCAAAAUGUCCCUAGCUAUUCAUGUUAUUUCUGAUACCAUAAACAUUAAGAUUGUUUUUUUUCUAGAUCUGUGAAAAAUGCCAUUGACUUUUGAUCUGAAUAGCAUUGAAUUUGUAAAUCAUUUCCGGUAAAAUGGACUUUUAAACAAUAUUGAUUCUUCUGAUUCAAGAUGACACAAGAUGUCUUUUCAUUUUUUGGUAUCUUCCCCAAUUUCUUUCAUCAGUGUUUUAUAAUUUUCAUUUUGGAAAAUUAUUCCUAGAUAUAUGUUCUUUAUUUUCUUGUAGAUAUUGUUAAUAAAAU